GGGAGCUCUGAGGCUGGGGGCUGGGGAGACCCGGGGUUGGGGGCAAGGCCCUGCCCUGUCCAGGGCAGUCACUCCAGGUUUCUGAGGCCCUGGUAACUUCUGGGUCCUGGCGAUCGGGACCCUUAUCCCGUCCAUCUGGGAAUGUUUCCGUGGCAGAAACUGAAGGGCUUACUUAGCAAGCCGUGAAGGCCCUCCCGGUAACCCGGCUUCAGGGUCUGGGGACUCAUGUGGGGAAAAAAGUAGUCGAGAUUGGUACAGAGGGCCUGGUUCUGGGAGACCAGCCACCUGGAUGUGGAGUGACUGCUACUCAAGUGCGUUCCUCCUGGGCCUGGGUUUUCCCACCUGUGUAUUCUGAAGGAGAGUGGCACCUUCCAGUCCAGUCUAGACCUUCAGGGCAGACUGCCCAGCGGCUGGAGUGCAGAAGCACUUCUUGGGGCCCCGAGCACUGACCGAGCUGUUCCUCAUCUGGCAGUGAAGUAGAUGUUCUUUCCGCCGGCCCACAUCUCUUGUCCGUGAAAUACAGCUCUUUCUGCUCAUAAGGUUGAGAUAAGGUAAUGCGUAUAAACGGUAAUAGGGUUUUUAAAAAUUGAGCCACGAGCAGUUUCUACCUCAGGCCUUUGCUCUUGUGAUUUCUUUGGCUGUGUCACUCUUCUGGCUUUGUCUGGGCCAGGCUUCCCAUCCAGGUCCCAACUCUGCUCCUUUUUCAGCCUGGCUGUAGGUGUGCACACUAAGAAUUUCCUGCACUGGUCCUCCCUUCUUGGGGCUGAUCUGCCCUUGGAGCACCAACCGCCGUCUCACAUUACGUCCUACAUAUAGCUCCCCCCAGUAUUGGCUCCAGGAGAGCAGGAGUCUUGUGGGUUCUGCUGAGCAUCCCCAGUUCCUGGGCUAGGGCCUGGCACACAGUUGGCCAAGCAUGGAUUUCUAUCUGUGGAAUGAACAUGACAGAGACAUGGUCCUGUCUGGCUCUUCAAGGCUGCCUUGCUACCACCGAGGGGGCAUAUCGUGGCUUUCUCAGUUGCUCGGUAAGUCCCGCCGGAUGCCCUAGGCGCCUGUAGGUCUGGUGGGAUGCUGGCUCUGCUUCAAGCUUUUCCUGGAGUUUAGGGAGCUGGGUGAGGCCCAACGCUCCCAGCCAAAGUUCUAUGGUCCUUUGACCUGUAGGGAUUCUGGAAGCCUUCAGACCGUGUGCGGAUAGCUUUUUCAGCCUGGCAUGGGAUUUUGAAGACCUGGGUUGCACUCCUAACCCUGAUUUCAGUUCCACUGGAAUUUUGAGUUCCGUUCUUUCUGAGCCUCUCUUCUCUGUAAAGAGGGGACAGGACAGGACUCUGUCCUUUGGAAAGCUGCUGGAGGUCUUAGCGCUGAUAGCCGGGGAUGUCCAUUCUGCCCCAAGUGUGUUUUCAAACAAAAGCGCUGAAGCAUGUGUGUGUUGGGGGACGUAGGAGGCUAGCUGUUGAACCGGUUCAGUGGGGUUUGAACUGUGGGCCGCAGUCCGUUGCUGCCUAUGGAAUCCAUUUAGAGGCUCGUAACCAGCAUGAAAACACGAAGAAAAAGUCCCCUUGGUUUUCCGCAUUUCCAAGUGAAUCUUAGAAUUAGCUUGCCCAGUUCUUCCCAGAAGCCUCCACGUGUUGCUGCUGGGACUGCCCGGGGAGGGCUGACACCUUGAUGUUUGCUCCUGCAAUCUACUAGGCAUGCAUCUGUUGAAAGUUCUGUCAGUGUUUACUCCGCAAACUCGCAAUCCCUUUUAAGUCCCACUUGCAAAUAGCUUGUUGCAGAGAAGACGGUCUUAAAACACUGAGUGUGUGUUUGGCUGCCUUGUCCAGCGUCAUUUUUUCUUACUCUUUAUCUGUAGCUUGGUUUGGAUUCCUGAGCUGGACAAUCAUAUGGUCUGUGACUGAUGCCCACUUUGCUUCUUCCCGGCCCUACCCUCUCUUUGCCAUCCAGUCAUUCCUCCAUUCUCUCUCUACCCACCCCGCCUUGUAGCAUGAGCGCCUCUGCUCUGACGGCGGACACGUGGACAUCGCGCACAUGCUCAGCUGUUCCUGAUCUCAGUGUGAAGGUUUUACCACCUCUACUGUUGAGUGUGGCUCAGGGUCAGGGCUGUUGGAGACCACCAUUUAUCAGAAGAACAUUCCCUUGUAUUCCUAGUUCAUUAGGUUGUGUGUGUGUGUGUAUUUUAAUGAAAGAUGGUAGAAUUUUAUCAAAUGCCCUUUUUGCAGUGAGAUGAUUAUUUGAUUUUUCUCUUUCAAUCUAAUAAGUGAAUUACAUUGAUUUUCUUUGUUUUUUAAAAAAGAUUUUAUUUACUUAUUUAUUUGACAGACAGAGAUCACAAGUAGGCAGAGAGGCAGUUAGAGAGAAGAGGAAGCAGGCUCCCUGCAGAGCAGAGAGCCCAAUGUGGGGCCCGAUCCCAGGACCCCGAGACCAUGACCUGAGCUGAAGGCAGAGGCCCAACCCACUGAGCCACCCGGGCGCCCUGCAUUGAUUUUCUAAUGUUAAAGUAACCCUGAGUUUUCCAGAUCAUCUCAACUUGGUCAUGAUAUUUUAUUCUAUAUAUACAUUGCUGGGUUUGAUUUGCCAAUGUUGUGUUUAGGACUUUUUGUUGUUGAGAGGGGAGAACACCUACAGUUGACAGAAGUGCAGAAUAUGUAAGGAGCUUGUAUGAAUCAGUAAGAAAAAUAAUUAAAAAAUGGGUGAGGGCACCUGGGUGGCUCAGUUUGUUAAGCAGCUGAGACUUGGUUUCAGCUCAGGUCAUGAUUUCAGGGUCGUGAGAUCGAGCCCUGCACUGGGCUCCACGCUCGGCGGGGCAUCUCCUUGAGAUGCCCUCUGUCCCUCUGCCUCCUGCGCACUGGUGCGUGCAGUGUUUCUCUUAAUAAUAAUAAUAAUAAUGGUGAAAGAUUAACAGAGGCUUUUCUAAAAAGGACACGUAAAUGACAAUAAACACAUGGAAAGGAACUUAAUCUCUGUCAGGGAAAUGCAAGUGGGAUACCGUUUGGACCCCAGAAAUGUAAGCCCCAACGUGAGCAAGAGUGGGUAGGGGCGGGCGGCAGUGCGCACCCUCAUCUGCCCCUCGCGGUCUAAGUGGAUAAAACCUCUGUUUGGUUUAUUCAGUUUUUAUUCUGUUUAUUUGUUUCCUUAGUUGGUCUAUUGCUACAGCCACAGCAGGAGCCCUGGACACAGAUGUUUCUGGUGCCGUUCAUUGAGUGGCCACACACCGGGAAGAGCCCGUGUCCAUCAGGAGUAAAAGGGAUGAGUAAAUUGCGGGGUGUGGAGACACGUGAUGGGAUGUAACGCAGGGGGACGGGCUGCCGCUGUCGGCAAGAGCGUUGGUGGGCCCUGCAAACGAUCUUGAACGAAGGAGGCAAGGUAGAAAAGUGCAGACCGUGUUGGAGUACAUGCACGAUUCCAUGCAUAAAAGGCAAACAGGCGGAAUCCCCCUGUAGUGUUUAGGGGUGUGUAUGUGGCUGGUGAGGUUAAAAAGAAGCAAAGUGGAGUUACAGGCGUUACAGCGGGGGAGGGGGAGGCAGACGGUCACCCUAGGAUGCCUGGUCACCCUGAGAUGCCCGUUUGCGUUGCUGAGCUGGGGGAGGGUCACUGUGUGGGUGAUCAAAACUGUCAAGUGCCGUUUUCUCUAACGCCUUUGAAAAGGAAAAAGGACAUCCCGGCUGUAAGUUGUUACUACUUUCUAUAUUUUAAUCUCAGCUGCACCCACACACACACAACCGUACUUCUUACGGGGGCUUGCUGUAAACACUUGGAAGCUGCUUGUGUUCUCUGGAAGGCGCCUUCCUGUUCUGUGAUGGGGCGUUGUCGCUAGCUUAUGUGAGCUUCGUUCCCACAGGGGAGUGCGUGUCGGGGACGCAGCCGGCGUCUCACAGGGAGAGUGGGUUUGGGGCAGCACGGCAGCUCCUUCCCCCCCUGCGGAGGUUCCUCAUCUGUGGGACUAAGAACCUAGCGGGCCGGGGGUCCCCUGCCCCGCCCGCAUGCUAACUAGUCACAGCUGGUCUGAGGGAGGCAGAGGGAAUGCCUGUCCUAAGAUCAUGCACGGUGACAGGCAGAGGCUGGAAGUCAACAGUCACAGGAAAUGGGUCCAUAUGUCUAGAUUUUCAUGACAGUCCAUUGUCUUGCAUUUACGCUCUGUUCAGCUGAGUGGGAUCUGAUCUCUAUACACGUGGAAGGGCUCCUGUGAGGAAGGCGAAACAGCGAGAGAGGGAACACAAGCAGGGGGAGUGGGAGAGGGAGAAGCAGACUCCCCAACAAGUAGGGAGCCCAAUGUGGAGCUCGAUCCAGAACCCUGGAGUCAUGACCUGAGCCGAAGGCAGGGGCUUAACUGACUGAGCCACCCAGACGCCCCUCAAGCCGGCGUUGUAACCCGAGUCUGAAGAUGAAGCCGGGUUGUGCCGAAGACGGUAGCCUGUGCAUCGGCUGGGGAGGUUUGAUGGUAAAGACCACAUGCUCUGCCCUUAGUGACCAUUUCUCUGUCUUCCCACUGUGUCAUUUCCAGAAGCUUCGAAAGCUCAGGGAAGAAAAAAGCACUCUUUCAAAACGAGGGCAGUAACAAUACACCGAACUCCAAAUGCACAGAUCUACCCCCCACCCCGGCCCGUGCUUUUGCUAGGCUCAGAAACCGCCACAAGACAACCCCCCAAAUAAGCAGCCCCGUCUGACCCCCCUGCUCUGGCCCAUGUCAUCCCCAAUCUGUCCCUUUGGUGUGAGAGUCUCCGGGCCGUCGUGGGGCAGCCCUUUGGGAAGCAUCUUUGCUCCCGCUGGGGCGUGUGCUCAGCUCCGAGGCGGGCCAGCCUCGUGCAGCUCUGCCGUGUCCCGCCCCGGCUUCGGUCACCUUCAUCUACCGAUCGCACCGAUUCGCUGACUAGAUAGGAGACUGUGUUUUACUCCUCACCAAAUUCUUCCCGGUCAUACUUUAACUCACUGGUUGGCGUGGCAUUCGGGCUGGACUCCGAGCACCAUUCCCGAACUGGCAUUUCAGUUGAGCCAUCAGGCUAAAUUUGGGUCAGACAUUCCCCGGGCCUGGGAUGCCCCGGAGGCCUUCAGAGACAGAAGCGUGGUUACCUGCGUGUGGUCCGUGGAUCCCUGAUCGCGGCUGUCCCGUGUCUUCCGUUGCCUUGAACUCCGGCCAAGUUGUUCCCUCCGGCUGCAUAGGGCAGCAGCCUAUGCACGUGCUCCGUGAAGAGGCCUCGGAUGGCUGAGGGGCUUUGCAGGUGUGAUGAAGUUGAAGGUCUAGAGAUGGGGAGCCUGGAUUAUCGGGGGGACGUGCAAUGUGAUUGCUGGGGUCUCUAUAACCAGGAGGUGGCCAUGGGCACAUCGGGGGAGCAGACCACAGGAAAAUGCAAGCAGGCUGGGCGCCGUGGCAACCUCUAGACGGGAGCGGCAGAAAGCAUUCCGCCCCCCUCCAAGGCUUCCACAGAACCAGCCCCACCCGCACCUGGAUUGGAGCCCGUUGAAGGCUCAUUCUGGACUUGCAGUCUCCAGAACUACAAGAUGAUAAAUUUGUGUUGCAUUAAAGCCACUGAAUAUGUGGUUGUUCGUUACAGCAGCCUCAAGAAAUCAAUGCAUAUGGUGGUAGCCCCAUAUGUAACUGUUCGAGGAACCGCCAAAGUCUUGCACAAAUGCUGUACUACAUGCAUGCCUACAGCCUGCGGUGUGGUCCGUCCUGUCUGUCUGAGCCAUUUUAGCAGGUGUGAACCCCUGUGGUUUGGAUUUGUACUUCCCUAGUGACUAAUGAGGUUGAGCAUCUAUUUUUUAAAAAAUUUUAUUUACUUGAGAACAGGAGAGAGAGCCAGUAGGGGGAGGGACAGAUGGAGAAGCAGACUCCCUGCUGAGCAGAGAGCAGACAUGGGGCUCAAGUUGGGACCCUGGGAUCAUGACCUGAGCCGAAGGCAGACGCUUCGCCGACCGGCCCCUGAACAUCUUCCCAUGUACUUGUCAGCCAUGUAGGUCUAUUCUCUGGUGAAGUAUCCCCUCAAAUCUCUUAAAAAUUACAGUGUUUUUCCAUAUACCAGGAUAUACUGAUUGGCUUCCUUCUUGAAAUGAACUAGUCCCCUGUUUUAUAUCACGGUAGCUGAGUUUUGCCUGUCUUUACACUGUAGAUAAACGGAAUGCUGUAGCAUCUGGUGUCUUGGUCCUGAUAAUGUCUGCGAGUCAUUCCUACGGGUUCUUCUCCGGGCUCUUCUGUCUCACUGCUGGAUAGCAUCCGGUCGCGGUAACAGCAUCAUUCAUUUAUCCGCUGUGCUGUUUCCGGGCAUCGGAGCGGUGUGCAUUUGGGGGGUCUUACAGACGGCGCUGCUGUGAGCCUGCUCACGCCUGCCUUUCGGGGAGCAGUUCCCCUGGCAUUUUCGCACGGCGGGGAUUGGACCAGGGGGUUCUGUCAUCGGGCAUUUCCCAGGUGACCCUGUUUCCGAUCAGGCAGCCACCACAGUCAUCCUCUAGUCUCUGUGGCACAGGCGAGUGUCGAGGUUGGAAACCUGGACGGGGGAUGGGGUGAGACCGAGGGUCCGCCGGCGUGCAGAUGACUCGGUGAAUGCUCCGCACCACCACAGAAAGCACGUGGCCUCAGCUGUGGCCGGGGAAUUUAUUUAGAGCCGCGACCAUUUCCCUGGGGGGCUGGGGGGAGGGACUCUGUCUGUAACUGGUAGCACUGAGGCGUUCCCGCUGUUGCCAGGUUACCUUUGCUCUCUGUCAAGUGAACCUGCAAAGGACCAGGUGGCAAUGGUGGCCUCAAAGAGCUCUUUCAGGGACAUCCUCAGCCGAGCCCACACCACAGCCAAACCUCUUCUCCAGAUCAGGGACGGAAGCAAAGCAGUGACACGCUGUCUUUCCCCGAAACACUGAGCCCAGCACUUCGUGAUUUGCUUCCACCAGGGGCAGAUACGGUUUUGGCAACCCGGCUGUGGACCAGUUCCCUGUCCUUCCGUCUCCCUGAGGCAACCUGAGUGUUUUAAGUCCUGAAAAUGAUCUUUUCCUGUCAACCACGGGUAUUAAACUCAGGUGCUUACAGGGGCCAGACGUGAUGCUCAGGAGGUCACUCAGUGCUAGAAGGGGGGGUUGGAGCACCUCUCUCUAGAAUUGAGGACCCUUGCCCCCGUGCCCAGGGGCUCUGGGGGAAGCUGAAAGUCUGGCCUUUAUGUGCCCGCCCUUUUUAAGUCAGAAAAAGCAGACCCAAUAAAGCAUUUUCCCUUAGGCCAGCA